UACAGAGGUGGCAAGCGUUGUUCGGAAUUACUGGCGUAAAGGGGGCGUAGGCGGCCCGUCCAGUCCCGUGUGAAAGCCCCCGGCUCAACCGGGGAACGGCGCGGGAAACUAGCAGGCUUGAGUUCGGGAGAGGGAAGCGGAAUUCCGGGUGUAGCGGUGAAAUGCGCAGAUAUCCGGAGGAACACCGGUGGCGAAGGCGGCUUCCUGGACCGACACUGACGCUGAGGCGCGAAAGCUAGGGGAGCAAACGGG
rnacentral:rRNA from 1 species